rnacentral:rRNA from 1 species
CCCUUUGUGAAAUACCUAUAACUGUUGCUUCGGCGGGUAGGGUCUCCGUGACCCUCCCGGCCUCCCGCCCCCGGGCGGGUCGGCGCCCGCCGGAGGAUAACCAAACUCUGAUUUAACGACGUUUCUUCUGAGUGGUACAAGCAAAUAAUCAAAACUUUUAACAACGGAUCUCUUGGUUCUGGCAUCGAUGAAGAACGCAGCGAAAUGCGAUAAGUAAUGUGAAUUGCAGAAUUCAGUGAAUCAUCGAAUCUUUGAACGCACAUUGCGCCCGCCAGCAUUCUGGCGGGCAUGCCUGUUCGAGCGUCAUUUCAACCCUCAAGCUCUGCUUGGUGUUGGGGCCCUACAGCUGAUGUAGGCCCUCAAAGGUAGUGGCGGACCCUCCCGGAGCCUCCUUUGCGUAGUAACUUUACGUCUCGCACUGGGAUCCGGAGGGACUCUUGCCGUAAAACCCCCAAUUUUCCAAAGGUUGACCUCGGAUCAGGUAGGAAUACCCGCUGAACUUAAGCAUAUCAAUAAGCGGAGGAAAAGAAACCAACAGGGAUUGCCUCAGUAACGGCGAGUGAAGCGGCAACAGCUCAAAUUUGAAAUCUGGCCCUAGGCCCGAGUUGUAAUUUGCAGAGGAUGCUUUUGGUGCGGUGCCUUCCAAGUUCCCUAGAACGGGACGCCAGAGAGGGUGAGAGCCCCGUACAGUUGGACACCAAGCCUUUGUAAAGCUCCUUCGACGAGUCGAGUAGUUUGGGAAUGCUGCUCAAAAUGGGAGGUAUAUUUCUUCUAAAGCUAAAUACCGGCCAGAGACCGAUAGCGCACAAGUAGAGUGAUCGAAAGAUGAAAAGCACUUUGAAAAGAGGGUUAAACAGCACGUGAAAUUGUUAAAAGGGAAGCGCUUGUGACCAGACUUGCGUCCGGUGAAUCACCCAGCUCUCGCGGCUGGGGCACUUCGCCGGCUCAGGCCAGCAUCAGCUCGCUGUCGGGGACAAAAGCUUCAGGAACGUAGCUCUCUUCGGGGAGUGUUAUAGCCUGUUGCAUAAUACCCUUCGGCGGGCUGAGGUACGCG